rfam:Kuraishia capsulata CBS 1993 genomic scaffold, Kuraishia_capsulata_scaffold_5
GCCGUCCUAGUAUAGUGGUGAGUACACUUCGUUGUGGCCGAAGAAACCCAAGUUCGAUUCCUGGGGACGGCA